UACGGAGGAUUCGAGCGUUAUCCGGAUUUAUUGGGUUUAAAGGGAGCGUAGGCGGGUUGUUAAGUCAGUUGUGAAAGUUUGCGGCUCAACCGUAAAAUUGCAGUUGAUACUGGCAUCCUUGAGUACAAUAGAGGUAGGCGGAAUUCGUGGUGUAGCGGUGAAAUGCUUAGAUAUCACGAAGAACUCCGAUUGCGAAGGCAGCCUGCUGGACUGUAACUGACGCUGAUGCUCGAAAGUGUGGGUAUCAAACAGG
rnacentral:rRNA from 1 species